UACGUAGGGGGCGAGCGUUGUCCGGAAUCAUUGGGCGUAAAGCGCGUGUAGGCGGCUCGGUAAGUCUGCUGUGAAAGUCCAGGGCUCAACCCUGGAAUGCCGGUGGAAACUGUCGAGCUUGAGUCCGGAAGAGGCGAGUGGAAUUCCUGGUGUAGCGGUGAAAUGCGCAGAUAUCAGGAGGAACACCAAUGGCGAAGGCAGCUCGCUGGGACGGUACUGACGCUGAGACGCGAAAGCUAGGGGAGCGAAUGGG
rnacentral:rRNA from 1 species